GUGUUGCUUAGGUAACACAUAUACUAAAAUUGGAACGAUACAGAGAAGAUUAGCAUGGCCCCUGUAGCAAGGAUGACAUGCAAAUUCAUGAAGCGUUUCCAUAUUUU